CAACGUACAAAAAGGGCAAAUAAUUUAAGACUGACGAAUACUUUUCUUUUACUUGUUCAAAUCAACUUUCUUAUACCUGUUUCCAAAACGUGGCAUGUUCUUCCAGCUGUUUCUUUUUCACCUUGGACCCCACACGCUUUCUGACCUUUCUAUAUAAACCUUUGCCCCUACCUCCUCCUUUUCUCAUCUCAGCUCUAUCAGCUAUUUCUCUCUCAUUCACUAUAUUUUCGGCUCCCUCCACAAUCGACUACACAUUUUCUGAUAUUUUUGAGCUAUGGCAUUGAACAAUAUGACUUUGUUUUUCGCCGUUAUGGCAAUUCUUUCAAUGGUUGCUUCAGCUCAGGAAGCAACAUUGGCUCCGGCACCAUCUCCCGACCAAGGUGGCGCGUUUUCUCUACCGGCAUCUGCUGCAAUUAUUUGCUCCUCGUUAAUCUUGUCCGUUGCAGCUCUUCUCAGGAACUAGAUCCAUGGCUCAUUGAUGAUUAUUUAUUGAUCUGCUUUAUCGCUGGUAUUUAUGUAGAUACAGAGGGUAGAUAAAUGCAUUUUUUUAUUUUCAUGUUUGAGUGAGUUUUUUUUUUUUUUCUUCUUUCAUAGACGGGAUUAUUGUUUAUUAUACUUGUUUUUGUAUAAUUAAUACUGGUUUGAAUAUAUAAUAAAGAGAGUUUUAUCUUUUUGUAUUUACAUUCACAGUGUUUCUUAAUAUAGGGGUAUUAGGUACAUAUUUUGGGUUGCGAAGACUUUAUGGACAAAGACACAACCAAAUCGAAAAAAAAAAAAAAAGAGUUUAUAAAUUUAGAAGUUGACAUAAUCAAUGUUAUUUGAUAAAUGAAAAUCAAACUAAAUCGAUCGGCCUAUGUAGAGAUUAUGGAUAAUCAAAAUUUUGUAAAUACAGAUUUGGUAAUCCAAAAAAUUCUCAAUUACCAAAAAGAAACGAAGUCAAGACAAACUACUACACAAACAUUAUUUAUUUAACGGAGAGAGAUAUUUCACAAAAUAGUAAGUAAAAAGAAACCACCUAAUUAAUGUCUUCUUGAUACAGAAAUUCAAAAGUACGAUCCACGAUUCAUGAUUGUCAUUUUUCCUGGUUUGAUUUCUAAUAUUUUUUUUUACCCACAAAAAAUGACAGUGACUAAAACCUAAUAUAAUGUUUAGUAAAUUGAUUGCUAGACACGAUAAUUUACAAAGGUGUACAUUUAUCAUGCGCUGAUGAUAGAGUGCUGAGUCAAAUUCAUUUUGAAAAACGGAAAGGAAGAAGAAAAGUAGAGAGGUCAUGUAAACUUUUAGGAGCUUUAAAAUUAAUCAUUAUAAUCUAAUCUCAAUUCAGUUAAUAACUAUUUGACUAUCCAAAUUUGAUCGGUAUUUCCUCCUCUUCAUUCAAGAGUCAAGACUGGUCCUUUUGCUCCAAUAGAUCAAAAUAACAAAUUAAUUACUUGCUACUUGGAGCGUUUAAGUAAAGCUCAUACGAAGUUUCAAACUAUAAUUAUGACACUCGAACGUGAGGACAAGGAACACCCAACAGAUAGAUGAGCUCAGAGGGGGGAGGGAGGCAAGAACCACACUUUCAUAUACUCUCUCCCUUUAAAACAAAUGAUCCAUUUCUUUUUUUUAACAAUUUUUUAAUUUUAACUUUCACACGAUAUAUUUAAGACCAUAAAAUUGAAGGAUAUUUUGGUACAUUUAACAUAUCUUUAAUUUAAAAUCACAAGAUUCGAAAGUCUCAUUUAUUUUUAUAAAUUCCAUGCCAAGUCAAAUUAGGUCAAUUCUUUUUUAAACGGAGGGAGUACCUCCGAAUCUUGUCUAAACUGUGAAUAGCUAAAAGAUUAACGACUUAGCUGAUGAGUUUCUCAAGGGGAGUGUCAGGUUAAUAAAGAUCAAUACUUUCUUUGUUUCGUUUUAAUUGAUCUUUAUUGACCUAACACUCUCCUAGUUUCUCCGUUUCAUUUUAGUUGAUCUUUAUACACCUGACACUCUCCUUAAGAAAACAUUUAAUACAAGUUUAUUUUACUAAAGUAAUCCUAUUAAUUAUGCAUUGAAAAUAUAAAUUUGAUAAAAUACACUUUACAUAGUUAUUAAUGAUAGGAUAAUAUUGGAACUAACAUGAUAAAUUUCUCUUGAUUUUAGAGCUUGAACAACUAAAAUAAAACAAAUAUUUUUAACAAAAGAGCCAACUAAUAUGAAAGAGAGGGAGUAUAAUGCUAGAACAUCAAGGACUUUCAGUUAUCAAUAAUAGAAAAUCUUACGGAGAUGUUCAUUGUUAAUCAUUUAAUUACCUCCCUAGUCCUGAUUUGCAAUUUUUAUGGGUGUUUGCUACAGGCCAUUUCCCAUUGCAACUUUCAUUCCUUACAUGUUAGCUAGUAAGUAAUUCAGCCAUAUUGUUAGUAUAACAUGACCACUUAUGCUGGGGAUUACCAAUUUAGUCGAAUUCCACAACACUAGAGUAUGCAUUAUGUAUGUAAAUCCAAUGGAAGCCGCCAAAGGAAUUUCCCUGCUCCUUUAUUAUUAUAAUAUUAUAUUAUCCUUUACACAAUUGCAUUAGACUUGGUAAUAUACACAAUCCAUACACAUUUUCUCUUUCUUUCUUUCUUUCUUUCUUUUUUUUUUUUAAAAAAAAAAAAAUUAUUUUGCGGAUAGGUUUUGUUUUAUGGUUCAAUACUUGUAUCCGCAGUUAUCCAAGCAAAUCCCUUGUCUGAAAUGCCAUGCCUGCACCUCAACUCCCAACGCACAAUUCAGCAGCACUGAAACAGCAACAAGGCAAUUAUAAUCAACACAAAAGAAACAUGAAGACUUAUAGUACAUAAAAUACAGCAAAAGAAACAUGAAAAUUAUAAGGUGAGAAGGGAUUUUCUAUGGAAAGGACACAAAGAAAGCGACUCUACAGAACUACAAUUAGUGAAGUGGAACAAAGUUUCUUUGGGGAAGAAACAAGGGGG
rnacentral:lncRNA from 1 species